AGAGUUUGAUCCUGGCUCAGGAUGAACGCUGGCGGCGUGCCUAAUACAUGCAAGUCGAGCGAACAGAUAAGGAGCUUGCUCCUUUGACGUUAGCGGCGGACGGGUGAGUAACACGUGGAUAACCUACCUAUAAGACUGGGAUAACUUCGGGAAACCGGAGCUAAUACCGGAUAACAUAUUGAACCGCAUGGUUCAAUAGUGAAAGGCGGCUUUGCUGUCACUUAUAGAUGGAUCCGCGCCGUAUUAGCUAGUUGGUAAGGUAACGGCUUACCAAGGCAACGAUACGUAGCCGACCUGAGAGGGUGAUCGGCCACACUGGAACUGAGACACGGUCCAGACUCCUACGGGAGGCAGCAGUAGGGAAUCUUCCGCAAUGGGCGAAAGCCUGACGGAGCAACGCCGCGUGAGUGAUGAAGGUCUUCGGAUCGUAAAACUCUGUUAUCAGGGAAGAACAAAUGUGUAAGUAACUGUGCACAUCUUGACGGUACCUGAUCAGAAAGCCACGGCUAACUACGUGCCAGCAGCCGCGGUAAUACGUAGGUGGCAAGCGUUAUCCGGAAUUAUUGGGCGUAAAGCGCGCGUAGGCGGUUUUUUAAGUCUGAUGUGAAAGCCCACGGCUCAACCGUGGAGGGUCAUUGGAAACUGGAAAACUUGAGUGCAGAAGAGGAAAGUGGAAUUCCAUGUGUAGCGGUGAAAUGCGUAGAGAUAUGGAGGAACACCAGUGGCGAAGGCGACUUUCUGGUCUGUAACUGACACUGAGGCGCGAAAGCGUGGGGAGCAAACAGGAUUAGAUACCCUGGUAGUCCACGCCGUAAACGAUGAGUGCUAAGUGUUAGAGGGUUUCCGCCCUUUAGUGCUGAAGUUAACGCAUUAAGCACUCCGCCUGGGGAGUACGGCCGCAAGGCUGAAACUCAAAGGAAUUGACGGGGGCCCGCACAAGCGGUGGAGCAUGUGGUUUAAUUCGAAGCAACGCGAAGAACCUUACCAGGUCUUGACAUCCUCUGANGGGGUCGCGGGUUCGAAUCCCGUCUUCUGCUCCAUUAUUAGUGCCGGGGUGGCGGAACUGGCAGACGCACAGGACUUAAAAUCCUGCGGUGAGAGAUCACCGUACCGGUUCGAUUCCGGUCCUCGGCACCAUCUUAUUAUUAAUAUGCGCCCGUAGCUCAAUUGGAUAGAGCGUUUGACUACGGAUCAAGAGGUUAUGGGUUCGACUCCUAUCGGGCGCGCUUAUUCUACGGGAAGUAGCUCAGCUUGGUAGAGCACUUGGUUUGGGACCAAGGGGUCGUAGGUUCGAAUCCUGUCUUCCCGAUAGCAACAAUUAUUAUAUAUAUGGGGGCUUAGCUCAGCU
rnacentral:rRNA from 1 species